AGACGACGUGUAACCGCAACGGACGAGGAGGCCGACCUACCGGUACGUGAGUUCAUGACUGGGGUG
rnacentral:rRNA from 1 species